UGGGGGAUAUUGCACAAUGGGCGAAAGCCUGAUGCAGCGACGCCGCGUGGGGGAGGAAGGUUUUGGGGUUGUAAACUUUUUUGGUAUUCAAACAAGGCCGGCUAGGGGGGGGUGGAGGUUGGGUGGGGAGGAAGCGCGGGCUACCUCCGUGCCAGCGGCGGCGGAAAUACGUAGGGCGCGAGCGUUGUCCGGAAUUAUUGGGCGUAAAGGGCUUGUAGGCGGCUUGUUGCGCUUGCUGUGAAAACGCGGGGCUUAACUUCGCGCGUGCAGUGGGUACGGGCAGGCUUGAGUGUGGUAGGGGUGACUGGAAUUCCAGGUGUAGCGGUGGAAUGCGCAGAUAUCUGGAGGAACACCGAUGGCGAAGGCAGGUCACUGGGCCAUUACUGACGCUGAGGAGCGAAAGCAUGGGUAGCGAACAGG
rnacentral:rRNA from 1 species